GAUGAAGAACGCAGCGAAAUGCGAUAAGUAAUGUGAAUUGCAGAAUUCAGUGAAUCAUCGAAUCUUUGAACGCACAUUGCGCCCGGCAGUACUCUGCCGGGCAUGCCUGUUCGAGCGUCAUUUCAACCCUCAAGCCCUGCUUGGUGUUGGGGCCCUACGGCUGCCGUAGGCCCCGAAAGGAAGUGGCGGGCUCGCUACAACUCCGAGCGUAGUAACUCAUUAUCUCGCUUAGGGCGUUGGGCGGCGCUCCAGCCGUUAAAGAACCAUCUUUAACUCAAGGUUGACCUCGGAUCAGGUAGGAAUACCCGCUGAACUUAAGCAUAUCAAUAAGCGGAGGA
rnacentral:misc_RNA from 1 species